rnacentral:rRNA from 1 species
UAGGGAAUCUUCCGCAAUGGACGAAAGUCUGACGGAGCAACGCCGCGUGAGCGAAGAAGCCCGUCGGGUGGUAAAGCUCUGUUGUAAGGGAAGAACAAGUGCCAUUUAACUGAUGGCACCUGACGGUACCUACGAGAAGCCGUCG